CUGACUAACCCAACACCUUAUUGAGACUUGUUGAUCAGCCUGACUAACCCAACACCUUAUUGAGACUUGCUGAUCAGUCUGACUAACCCAACACCUUAUUGAGACUUGUUGAUCCCAACACCUUAUUGAGACUUGUUGAUCCCAACACCUUAUUGAGACUUUCUGAUCAGUCUGACUAACCCAACACCUUAUUGAGACUUGUUGAUCAGCCUGACUAACCCAACACCUUAUUGAGACUUGCUGAUCAGUCUGACUAACCCAACACCUUAUUGAGACUUGUUGAUCCCAACACCUUAUUGAGACUUGUUGAUCCCAACACCUUAUUGAGACUUGCUGAUCAGCCUGACUAACCCAAUAGCGUAUGGCUCCAGAGGUUCAAUAAUAUAAUAACACCUACUAACCAACAGAUAAAGUGCCAACAAGGAAAAAGUUGUCUCUGCUCAACGCAGAAGGCUACAGUCAAAUUAUCCUAUAUUUGGCCCAAAUGGCACCCUAUUCCCUAUAAAGUGCACUACUUUUGAACAGAGCACUAUGGGACCUGGUCAAAAGUAGUGCACUAUGUAGGGAAUAGGGUGCCAUUUGGGAUUUAACCAGAAGGAUAUAACAAUGUGUAUUACAUUCAUUUAAAUAAAGCAAGCCAGCCAGGUCUCUCCCUAGGCUAGUUACAGGUUACAGACAACAUGUCUCUCCCCAGGCUAGUUACAGGUUACAGACAACAUGUCUCUCCCCAGGCUAGUUACAGGUUACAGACAACAUGUCUCUCCCCAGGCUAGUUACAGGUUACAGACAACAUGUCUCUCCCCAGGCUAGUUACAGGUUACAGACAACAUGUCUCUCCCUAGGCUAGUUACAGGUUACAGACAACAUGUCUCUCCCUAGGCUAGUUACAGGUUACAGACAACAUGUCUCUCCCUAGGCUAGUUACAGGUUACAGACAACAUGUCUCUCCCUAGGCUAGUUACAGGUUACAGACAACAUGUCCCUCCCCAGGCUAGUUACAGGUUACAGACAACAUGUCUCUCCCUAGGCUAGAUACAGGUUACAGACAACAUGUCUCUCCCUAGGCUAGUUACAGGUUACAGACAACAUGUCUCUCCCCAGGCUAGUUACAGGUUACAGACAACAUGUCUCUCCCCAGGCUAGUUACAGGUUACAGACAACAUGUCUCUCCCUAGGCUAGAUACAGGUUACAGACAACAUGUCUCUCCCCAGGCUAGUUACAGGUUACAGACAACAUGUCUCUCCCUAAGCUAGUUACAGGUUACAGACAACAUGUCUCUCCCUAGGCUAGUUACAGGUUACAGACAACAUGUCUCUCCCCAGGCUAGUUACAGGUUACAGACAACAUGUCUCUCCCUAGGCUAGUUACAGGUUACAGACAACAUGUCUCUCCCAGGCUAGUUAUAGGUUACAGACAACAUGUCUCUCCCAGGCUAGUUAUAGGUUACAGACAACAUGUCUCUCACUAGGCUAGUUACAGGUUACAGACAACAUGUCUCUCCCUAGGCUAGUUACAGGUUACAGACAACAUGUCUCUCCCCAGGCUAGUUAUAGGUUACAGACAACAUGUCUCUCCCUAGGCUAGUUACAGGUUACAGACAAUAUGUCUCUCCCUAGGCUAGUUAUAGGUUACAGACAACAUGUCUCUCCCUAGGCUAGUUACAGGUUACAGACAACAUGUCUCUCCCUAGGCUAGUUACAGGUUACAGACAACAUGUCUCUCCCUAAGCUAGUUACAGGUUACAGACAACAUGUCUCUCCCUAGGCUAGUUACAGGUUACAGACAACAUGUCUCUCCCCAGGCUAGUUACAGGUUACAGACAACAUGUCUCUCCCUAGGCUAGUUACAGGUUACAGACAACAUGUCUCUCCCAGGCUAGUUAUAGGUUACAGACAACAUGUCUCUCCCAGGCUAGUUAUAGGUUACAGACAACAUGUCUCUCACUAGGCUAGUUACAGGUUACAGACAACAUGUCUCUCCCUAGGCUAGUUACAGGUUACAGACAACAUGUCUCUCCCCAGGCUAGUUAUAGGUUACAGACAACAUGUCUCUCCCCAGGCUAGUUACAGGUUACAGACAACAUGUCUCUCCCUAGGCUAGUUACAGGUUACAGACAACAUGUCUCUCCCCAGGCUAGUUACAGGUUACAGACAACAUGUCUCUCCCUAGGCUAGUUACAGGUUACAGACAACAUGUCUCUCCCUAGGCUAGUUACAGGUUACAGACAACAUGUCUCUCCCCAGGCUAGUUAUAGGUUACAGACAACAUGUCUCUCCCCAGGCUAGUUAUAGGUUACAGACAUGUCUCUCACUAGGCUAGUUACAGGUUACAGACAACAGACUGCCACACAGGGCUUGGGUCAAGAGAAGUGUGGUGUAGGAUGCCGUUUGAGGUGUGGCACUAUGGAAAGCAGCAUCUGGGAGGUCAAGGGUCAAAGGCCACCCAGGCAGAGGUCAAGGGUGGGUGACCUCACUCUCUUUACCACUACUCAACGUAGAGGGGGGCGGGAUCUGACUGAUGGGACAGGUUUCUCCAGCUGACGUCUGUGAUUGGACAGAUAUCCAUUCACUCACUCCCUGUGGGGAUAACAUUGCACUGUCUGUCAAAUAAAUAUUCAACCAUAGUCCACCCGGUUCUAUUGGAGAUAAAAGAUCAGAACAUUCCGGUUACAUUGGAUAGAACAAAUUAGAAUAUUCUGAUUCUUUCCUCUGAUGGCAAUAAAGGCAAUCUGGGGCAGAGAAAAAACAAAAAGGACUCUUUUAUAGUCUCUUAACAGAGUACACUUUCAAAAGCACAAAAUGCCCAUUUAGAAUAAAAUAUUCAAAAAAAAUCCUAGGUGGUAUUCUGAGUCUGUUUGAGAGAGGAGAGCAGAUCAGAUGGCCUUCUGACUGAACUUCUGACUUCCCAGCAAACCGGAGCGGACAAAUUCUGCAAGAAUCCAGACACCCGUUUAAAGGAUAGUUGAACAAACAGAGUUUGGGAGAAACAGUAAGAGUUGUUGGAAGGGAUUUGUCCUGGAGAAGUCUUUAGUUAAGGGAGGGAGGGAUGGUGGUAGGAGUAACAGCAGUAAGAGUUGUUGGAAG
rnacentral:lncRNA from 1 species